rfam:Schistosoma curassoni strain Dakar, Senegal genome assembly, scaffold: SCTD_scaffold0003830
AUCUAGCUGAAAAGUCGCAAAUAGGAUGAGAUGCGCAUCCUUGAU